GAAAGCCAUGAAAAUGUAAAAAAUAAAAGUGGUAAAACAAAAUAAAUAAAAUCACGUUAAAAAAAAAAAAGAAAAGAAAAAAAAGGGCUACAUUUCUUUCUUUUAUGCUUUUUCGAGGUUUAGGGUUUGGCAGAGUUGAGGCGUCUUCUCCACCUAGCAUCAAUGCUUGGCUUAUCCACCAUUGCUAAAAAAAUCUAGCUGUCUCAAAAUCGAACACUAAGGUCUUUCUCCUCCCAUGUAGUAGCUGGAAUUUUUUCUUCUCCGACUUUUGACCACCUAUUGAUCUCAUGAAUAGGUAUUUGUAUGUAAACGAUUCAUCGUUCCUUUUUUUUUUUUUUUUUUUUUUAACCCAUUUGCUUUGCAUAUAUUGAUGCUUACUGUGCUGAGAUAGGAUGUUGGGAAUUUUUUAAAUUUUGGAAUGGUUUGAGAAAUAUGUCUCUAUAUGUUUUUUUUUUAAAAAAAAUAAAAGAACAAAUCUUGGAAUAGUCAAUGAGGAGCUAUUAUAGGAUUUUUGAUAACUUGUUCUGCAUAUGUAUACAGAAGAUUUUUGUAUUUUUUUUUUUUUUGGGCUUUUUCUACUCAUUGAUUAAUACAUAUUAACUUCAUUCCCCCUUGCAUACAUGAAUGUUAGUUAAUAUAUUUGUUUGAAUGAGCCUUUAGAGAGAUAUAUAUACAUUCUUAGUCCAUAUUUAAUCAUCACUAAAGAAACCCUAAAGGUUCCGCAUGUAGACUCAUCACAUACCAUUGUCAAUAGAUCAAUUAGUUUUAUCUCAAUAUUCGUAUUUUAUGAUACUUCUUGGAUUAUCACAACAAGUAUAUGAGCUUCGCCAUUUUUUUUUUUUUUUUUUCAUUCCUUUUGCUAUGCAUAUGUAGAUGAACAUGAAGAAGCUGGUAAGUGGAGAUGCUAUAUUGGUUUCUUAAAACUUCAGUUUUAGUUUAUGAAAAUUUGAUUUUUUUCUCCAGUUCCUUAAAAUCUUUUAUGGAUACAUUUUGUUUAUAGAAUACUCAAGGUAAGUUUGCUACAGAAUUUUUACUUCAUUUCCGAAAAUUUAAUUUCAAUUUUCGCUUUAGUUUCUAUUGUGGUCCAAUAUUUGUGUUUGAUACUAUUUGUGCUAUUAUCCCUAAGCUUUUUGUUUCAGAUUCCAGGAUACCAUCCAUGUUUGAAGUUUAGUAACUUUAAGUGGUUCAUCCUUUAUAGUUCAUCCUUUUCUCCACUUUGGACUCUUCCAUUUUCCUUAAUUAUAGUCAUCAAAAUUCAUUUGUAUCUGAAUUGAUUAUUUAUCUCAACAAAAGAAUUACAAAGGAAAAUGGUUCAUCUAGUUCUAGGUUGGAACUUGGUAAUUUUCCUUUUGUUACGAUAGUUAUUCAAUUUGUUUGAUGAUGUUCCAUUGUUUAAGAAACUUGCUUUAAGCAGUU